rnacentral:tRNA from 1 species
GGAUUGUGGCUCAGUGGUAGGGCUCUCGCCUAACAAGGGCGGGACCCGAGUUAGAUCCUCAGCACCA